rnacentral:rRNA from 1 species
GAUGAACGCUGGCGGCGUGCUUAACACAUGCAAGUCGAACGAAGCACUUUCAAACAAAUCUUCGGAAGAGUGAGAUUGUGACUGAGUGGCGGACGGGUGAGUAACGCGUGGGUAACCUGCCUCACACAGGGGGAUAACAGUUAGAAAUGACUGCUAAAACCGCAUAACAUGGCGAGACCGCAUGACCUUGCCAUCAAAUAUUUAUAGGUGUGAGAUGGGCCCGCGUCUGAUUAGCUAGUUGGUAGGGUAAUGGCCUACCAAGGCGACGAUCAGUAGCCGGCUUGAGAGAGUGGACGGCCACAUUGGGGACUGAGACACGGCCCAAACUCCUACGGGAGCAGCAGUGGGGGAUAUUGGACAAUGGGGGAAACCCUGAUCCAGCGACGCCGCGUGAGUGAAGAAGUAUUUCGGUAUGUAAAGCUCUAUCAGCAGGGAAGAAAAUGACGGUACCUGACUAAGAAGCCCCGGCUAACUACGUGCCAGCAGCC